UACGUAGGGACCAAGCGUUGUUCGGAUUUACUGGGCGUAAAGGGCGCGUAGGCGGCAAUUCAAGUCACUUGUGAAAUCUCCGAGCUUAACUCGGAACGGUCAAGUGAUACUGUUUUGCUAGAGUACAGAAGGGGCAAUCGGAAUUCUUGGUGUAGCGGUGAAAUGCGUAGAUAUCAAGAGGAACACCUGAGGUGAAGACGGGUUGCUGGGCUGAUACUGACGCUGAGGCGACGAAAGCUAGGGUAGCAAACGGG
rnacentral:rRNA from 1 species